rnacentral:rRNA from 1 species
CGGCGGACGGGUGAGUAACGCGUGGGUAACCUGCCUCAUACAGGGGGAUAACAGUUGGAAACGGCUGCUAAUACCGCAUAAGCGCACAGUACCGCAUGGUACCGUGUGAAAAACUCCGGUGGUAUGAGAUGGACCCGCGUCUGAUUAGCUAGUUGGUGGGGUAACGGCCUACCAAGGCGACGAUCAGUAGCCGACCUGAGAGGGUGACCGGCCACACUGGGACUGAGACACGGCCCAG